rnacentral:rRNA from 1 species
UACGGAGGGUGCAAGCGUUAUCCGGAUUCACUGGGUUUAAAGGGUGCGUAGGUGGGCAAGUAAGUCAGUGGUGAAAUCUCCGGGCUUAACCCGGAAACUGCCAUUGAUACUAUUUGUCUUGAAUACUGUGGAGGUCAGCGGAAUAUGUCAUGUAGCGGUGAAAUGCUUAGAUAUGACAUAGAACACCAAUUGCGAAGGCAGCUGGCUACGCAUAUAUUGACACUGAGGCACGAAAGCGUGGGGAUCAAACAGG